rnacentral:rRNA from 1 species
AACCUCCGCAAUGUGAGAAAUCGCGACGGGGGGAUCCCAAGUACCAUUCUUAACGGGAUGGCUUUUCAUUAGUGUAAAGAGCUUUUGGAAUAAGGGCUGGGCAAGACCGGUGCCAGCCGCCGCGGUAACACCGGCAGCUCUAGUGGUAGCAGUUUUUAUUGGGCCUAAAGCGUCCGUAGCCGGUUUAAUAAGUCUCUGGUGAAAUCCUGUAGCUUAACUGUGGGAAUUGCUGGAGAUACUAUUAGACUUGAGACCGGGAGAGGUUAGAGGUACUCCCAGGGUAGAGGUGAAAUUCUGUAAUCCUGGGAGGACCGCCUGUUGCGAAGGCGUCUAACUGGAACGGUUCUGACGGUGAGGGACGAAAGUUAGGGGCGCGAACCGGAUUAGAUACCCGGGUAGUCCUAACUGUAAACGAUGCGGACUUGGUGUUGGGGUGGCUUUGAGCUGCUCCAGUGCCGAAGGGAAGCUGUUAAGUCCGCCGCCUGGGAAGUACGGUCGCAAGACUGAAACUUAAAGGAAUU